AUACGUAGGUGACAAGCGUUAUCCGGAUUUACUGGGCGUAAAGGGCGUGUAGGCGGUCUUGCAAGUCAGAAGUGAAAUUCCUGAGCUCAACUCGGGCGCUGCUUCUGAAACUGCAGGACUUGAGUGCUGGAGGGGAUAGCGGAAUUCCUAGUGGAGCGGUAAAAUGCGCAGAUAUUAGGAAGAACACCGGUGGCGAAGGCGGUUUUCUGGGCCGUAACUGACGCUAAGGCGCGAAAGCUAGGGGAGCAAACAGGAUUAGAUACCCUGGUAGUCCUGGCCGUAAACGAUGGGCACUAGGUGUGGGGAGAUUACUCUUUCCGUGCCGCAGCUAACGCAUUAAGUGCCCCGCCUGGGGAGUACGACCGCAAGGUUAAAACUCAAAUGAAUUGACGGGG
rnacentral:rRNA from 1 species